rnacentral:lncRNA from 1 species
CAUACAUUUUACUGUUUAGGCAUAGGAUGAGUUCUAUAUGCUUCAAAAAAGAUGGGAAGGCUACGAUGCCAGCGAAGAAGAAAACGAUAAGUUAUUUUUGACUUUUUAUUGCUAGAUUCUUCAAUCCAUUCUCUUCUUCAUGCUAUACUGAGUUUUUCUUUUUAUCUACAAUUGUUCUUGCAUUGGUUUUGGAUCUCAGGAAAAAGUUGUGAAUCCUCUAUUUGAGAAGCAGUCGAAGCAGUUUG